UGCAGUCGAACGGUAACGCGGGGCAACCUGGCGACGAGUGGCGAACGGGUGAGUAAUGCAUCGGAACGUGCCCAGUUGUGGGGGAUAGCCCGGCGAAAGCCGGAUUAAUACCGCAUACGACCUACGGGUGAAAGCGGGGGACCGCAAGGCCUCGCGCUACUGGAGCGGCCGAUGUCAGAUUAGCUAGUUGGUGGGGUAAAGGCCUACCAAGGCGACGAUCUGUAGCUGGUCUGAGAGGACGACCAGCCACACUGGGACUGAGACACGGCCCAGACUCCUACGGGAGGCAGCAGUGGGGAAUUUUGGACAAUGGGCGCAAGCCUGAUCCAGCCAUGCCGCGUGCGGGAAGAAGGCCUUCGGGUUGUAAACCGCUUUUGUCAGGGAAGAAACGCUCCGGGCCAAUACCCUGGGGUAAUGACGGUACCUGAAGAAUAAGCACCGGCUAACUACGUGCCAGCAGCCGCGGUAAUACGUAGGGUGCAAGCGUUAAUCGGAAUUACUGGGCGUAAAGCGUGCGCAGGCGGUCUUGCAAGACAGAUGUGAAAUCCCCGGGCUCAACCUGGGAACUGCAUUUGUGACUGCAAGGCUGGAGUGCGGCAGAGGGGGAUGGAAUUCCGCGUGUAGCAGUGAAAUGCGUAGAUAUGCGGAGGAACACCGAUGGCGAAGCAAUCCCCUGGGCCUGCACUGACGCUCAUGCACGAAAGCGUGGGGAGCAAACAGGAUUAGAUACCCUGUAGUCCACGCCCUAAACGAUGUCAACUGGUUGUUGGACGGCUUGCUGUUCAGUAACGAAGCUAACGCGUGAAGUUGACCGCCUGGGGAGUACGGCCGCAAGGUUGA
rnacentral:rRNA from 1 species